rnacentral:rRNA from 1 species
UACAGAGGUCUCAAGCGUUGUUCGGAUUCAUUGGGCGUAAAGGGUGCGUAGGUGGCGCCGUAAGUCAGGUGUGAAAUUUCGGAGCUUAACUCCGAAACUGCAUUUGAUACUGCGGUGCUUGAGGACUGGAGAGGAGACUGGAAUUUACGGUGUAGCAGUGAAAUGCGUAGAUAUCGUAAGGAAGACCAGCGGCGAAGGCGGGUCUCUGGACAGUUCCUGACACUGAGGCACGAAGGCCAGGGGAGCAAACGGG